GAUGAACGCUGGCGGCGUGCCUAAUACAUGCAAGUCGAGCGAACAGACGAGGAGCUUGCUCCUCUGACGUUACCGGCGGACGGGUGAGUAACAGGUAGAUAACCUACCUAUAAGACUGAGGUAACUUCGCGAAACCGGAUCUAGCACCGGUCAAUAUAUUGAACCGCGGGGUUCAACAGUCAACGGGGGUUUUGCUGUCACUCAGAGAUGGUUCCGCGCCGCAUGAGUUAGUUGGUAAGGUAACGGCUUACCAAGGCAACGAUGCGUAGCCGACCUGAGAGGGUGAUCAGCCACACUGGAACUGAGACACGGUCCAGACUCCUACGGGAGGCAGCAGUAGGGAAUCUUCCGCAAUGGGCGAAAGCUUGACGGAGCAACGCCGCGUGAGUGAUGAAGGUCUUCGGAUCGUAAAACUCUGUUAUUAGGGAAGAACAGAUGUGUGAGUAAAUGUGCACGUCUUGACGGUACCUACUCAGAAAGCCACGGCUAACUACGUG
rnacentral:rRNA from 1 species